rfam:Brachypodium distachyon strain Bd21 chromosome 1, whole genome shotgun sequence.
AUUCUACUCCCUCCGUCCAACAAAAAAUGUCUCAAGUUUGUUAAAAUUGGAUGUAUCUAGACAUGACUUAGUUUAUAGAUGCAUUCAAAUUUAAUCAAAAUUGAGAUAUCCUUCGUUAGACGAAGAGAGUAGGUA